CAGUAAACGAUGAAUGCUAGUUGUCCGGUGCGAUUGAGCGUUGGGUGACACAGCGAAAGCGUUAAGCAUUCCACCUGGGGAGUACGCCGGCAACGGUGAAACUCAAAGGAAUUGACGGGGGCCCGCACAAGCGGAGGAACAUGUGGUUUGAUUCGAUGAUACGCGAGGAACCUUACCCGGGCUCAAACGCAGGAGGGAUGUUUUUGAAAGGAGGCAGCCAGCAAUGGUCUCCUGCGAGGUGCUGCAUGGUUGUCGUCAGCUCGUGCCGUGAGGUGUCGGCUUAAGUGCCAUAACGAGCGCAACCCCUACCUACAGUUGCCAUCGCGUGAUGGCGGGCACUCUGUGGGGACUGCCUGCGCAAGCAGUGAGGAAGGCGGGGAUGACGUCAAAUCAGCACGGCCCUUACGUCCGGGGCGACACACGUGUUACAAUGGCAGGUACAGCGGGAAGCCACCCGGCGACGGGGCGCGGAACCCGAAAACCUGUCUCAGUUCGGAUUGGAGUCUGCAACCCGACUCCAUGAAGCUGGAUUCGCUAGUAAUCGCGCAUCAGCCAUGGCGCGGUGAAUACGUUCCCGGGCCUUGCACUCACCGCCCGUC
rnacentral:rRNA from 1 species